AGUCACGCUGUAAACGAUGUCGAUUUGGAGGUUGUUCCCUUGAGGAGUGGCUUCCGGAGCUAACGCGUUAAAUCGACCGCUGGGGAGUACGGCCGCAAGGUUAAAACUCAAAUGAAUUGACGGGGGCCCGCACAAGCGGUGGAGCAUGUGGUUUAAUUCGAUGCAACGCGAAGAACCUUACCUACUCUUGACAUCCAGAGAAUUUAGCAGAGAUGCUUUAGUGCCUUCGGGAACUCUGAGACAGGUGCUGCAUGGCUGUCGUCAGCUCGUGUUGUGAAAUGUUGGGUUAAGUCCCGCAACGAGCGCAACCCUUAUCCUUUGUUGCCAGCACAUUAUGGUGGGAACUCAAAGGAGACUGCCGGUGAUAAACCGGAGGAAGGUGGGGAUGACGUCAAGUCAUCAUGGCCCUUACGAGUAGGGCUACACACGUGCUACAAUGGCGUAUACAAAGAGAAGCGACCUCGCGAGAGCAAGCGGAACUCAUAAAGUACGUCGUAGUCCGGAUUGGAGUCUGCAACUCGACUCCAUGAAGUCGGAAUCGCUAGUAAUCGUAGAUCAGAAUGCUACGGUGAGUACGUUCCCGGGCCUUGUACACACCGCCCGUCACACCAUGGGAGUGGGUUGCAAAAGAAGUAGGUAGCUUAACCUUCGGGAGGGCGCUUACCACUUUGUGAUUCAUGACUGGGGUGAAGUCGUAACAAGGUAACCA
rnacentral:rRNA from 1 species